GAUCCUGGCUCGGGACGAACGCUGGCGGCGUGCUUAACACAUGCAAGUCGAACGAGAAUCUGUGGAUCGAGGAUUCGUCCAAGUGAAGCAGAGGACAGUGGCGGACGGGUGAGUAACGCGUGAGGAACCUGCCUUUCAGAGGGGGACAACAGUUGGAAACGACUGCUAAUACCGCAUGAUACGUUUUAGGGGCAUCCCUGAGACGUCAAAGAUUUAUCGCUGAAAGAUGGCCUCGCGU
rnacentral:rRNA from 1 species